GCUAGUUUGUUACCUACAUGUUUGUUACUUGUCUACUGUCAAUGACACCAGUCAAUGACAUCAUAGGAAAAUUUCUAAUGUAGUUUGAUUUGAAGUUUGAGUAACAAUUUCACAAAAGAUUUCAACUAACCACGGAAAUUAUUAUACCGAAUCACUAUGUGCAUCAAUUGGUUAUUUGAAAAAAUUAAAUGACGAUUUUUUUGUAGAUUAUCAGUGAAUUUACCUAGGUAAUAAAUACCUUAACCAAUGAAUUAAGCUUACAGUUACUGAUAAAGUAGUAUCACAGGUACCAUCACAAAGCUGGAAGCCUUAAAAAUAAAUCCGUGAGGAGUGAACCUGACUUCUGCAGAAACAGGUUGUUGAUUGACUGUUGUUACUGUUCAAGUUCAAUCCUAAGUAAAUGCGUUGUGUUAUUGCUUACUAAGUUGUUCGAAUUUAUUACACCAAACAUAUUUUUCAGGUUAUAUAAAAUUUCUUAUUCUUUUUAGUUAUUUGCUUAAGUUAGAUUACUAAAAGACAAUAAGAAAAGAAUGCAAAUGUGAAACAAUUUCCCUUGCAAUUUCAAAUUUGAGACUUUUCAAUGGUCUGUUUCAGUGCUAAAUAUGAUUUAGAGUUGAAAAUCCUAACCUGAAUCAUGGUUCUUUAAGUUGUUGAUCAUCAAGUUUUCAUAUAAUCCAUUGUUAUUUUUGUUAUAUUAUUGUAUCCAGAACUUUACCACUAUUCUGCAUUUUUAUUGCAUAAUCAACUUAAAGUGUGUCUUUACUCUGAGGAUUCGUUUUAUAAUUACUAUUCAAGCACUGUAACUUAAACUGUGUCAAGGAUAGCUUACUCUUUGCAUUGCCCUUUUUUUUCAUAUUGUUGCUAAUUUAUUUGCUAUAAUUUGUUCCUUCAUCCAUUUGAAAUAACAUUAUAAUUAUAAAUAUUACACAUUAAAUGUUUAAAAAACUUCCUUCUUUGUUAUCUGUAAUUCAGGCACCAACCAUUUUACAUAGAACAAUAUUUUUUAUUAUAAUAUUUUACUUAGAAAAUCAUUGCAAUCACCAACAUUUGUAGGUACCGUCUAAUUAAAAAUAUAUAGAUAGCUAUACUUUACUCCUGAACAUUUAAUAAAAACUCAGACAUCUUUUAUUUUAUUGCAUCAUUGCAAAUCAAUUUCUACCUGAGACGGUGCUUCAACUAACUUAGUAAGUCCAUGAGCAUUAUGCUUACCUAUAUGAUUAGAAAUUAGACAUUUAAUUUGAACGCCGGUUUGGUAAGCUAGAAAAAGCAUCCACACUGACUACAUUUUGGAACUAUCAGUAAAUAUUCAAAUAUAUAUACCUAUCAAAAUUGUAUGUAGGUAAUCUAAAUGUUUGAUUAGAAUGAACAUUUCUAUAUUCUAAUGGUACAUUAUGUAAUAUAAUUUAAAUUCGUAAUUUUUGUUAAUCCAUAUACACUUUAGUUAAUUAUUGCUAGGUUUAUCAAUAAUAUAAAAAUUACUAAAAUUCAAGAUUUAACUUUAAGAUAAUAUUUAUCUGCUAAAUAUCAUCUGGAUUGUGAGUUGUUAUGUUAAAUUUAUUUUUUCGUGGUAAUUUUUUUGUAUUCGGUUUAUUAUUGUAUUGUAUUAGUACAGCUUGUUGAUUAUUGUUAUCUUUUAUAAUUAGAGCUUACAAAUUAUGUUAGUACAAAUACAUUUUAUAAUAAGUAGGAUUGAUAUUGUUAUAAAUAAAAACGCAACUAUUAUGACACAUUCAA